rnacentral:rRNA from 1 species
GACAGAAGGUGCAAACGUUGUUCGGAAUUACUGGGCGUAAAGGGCGCGUAGGCGGCCUGAUAAGUCGGGGGUGAAAUCCUGUGGCUUAACCACAGGGCUGCCUCCGAGACUGUCGGGCUCGAGCACAGUAGAGGCAGGUGGAAUUCCCGGUGUAGCGGUGGAAUGCGUAGAGAUCGGGAAGAACAUCGGUGGCGAAGGCGGCCUGCCGGGCUGUUGCUGACGCUGAGGCGCGACAGCGUGGGGAGCAAACAGG